rnacentral:rRNA from 1 species
GUACGGGGGGGGCAAGCGUUGUUCGGAAUUACUGGGCGUAAAGGGCGCGUAGGCGGUUCGCUUAAGUUGAAUGUGAAAACUCUGGGCUUAACCCAGAGCCUGCAUUCAAUACUGGCGGGCUAGAGUUCUGGAGGGGAUAGCGGAAUUCCUGGUGUAGCGGUGAAAUGCGUAGAUAUCAGGAGGAACACCGGUGGCGAAGGCGGCUAUCUGGACAGAGUCUGACGCUGAGGCGCGAAAGCUAGGGGAGCAAACAGG